GCUAGUUACCUAUCAUUAAGUGGGACUCUAGCGAGACUGCCAGUGAUAAACUGGAGGAAGGUGGGGGAUGACGUCAAAUCAUCAUGCUCCUUAUGACCUGGGCUACAAACGUGAUACAAUGGCUGGAACAAAGGGAUGCGAAGCAGUGAUGUGGAGCGAAAACCCAUAAAAACAGUCUCAGUUCGGAUUGAAGUCUGCAACUCGACUUCAUGAAGUCGGAAUCGCUAGUAAUCGCGGAUCAGAACGCCGCGGUGAAUACGUUCUCGGGGUUU
rnacentral:rRNA from 1 species